UACGUAGGGGGCUAGCGUUGUCCGGAAUCAUUGGGCGUAAAGAGCGUGUAGGCGGCCCGGUAAGUCCGCUGUAAAAGUCAAAGGCUCAACCUUUGAAUGUCAGUGGAUACUGCCGGGCUAGAGUCCGGAAGAGGCGAGUGGAACUCCUGGUGUAGCGGUGGAAUGCGCAGAUAUCAGGAAGAACACCAAUGGCGAAAGCAGCUUUCUGGGACGGUACUGACGCUGAGACGCGAAAGCGUGGGGAGCGAACAGG
rnacentral:rRNA from 1 species